UUACUGCAUCUAUAAGGUUCCCCAAAUGGUUCUUCUAUAAAAUCACUGCAAAAGUCCCUUUUGGAACCUUUAUUUAUUUUGCGUGCUAUUUAUACGCAGAAACUGACUUUAACGUGCAUACCAUACGCACGUGUUUGACGUGCAUAUAAUAGCAGUCCUGUGUGCAAAUGAUAGAUAGGCCUAUGCACUUUGUUGGUGUGCUUAUGAUACGCAUUUUGGCGUACAUAUAACACGCACCAGCCCCACACUCCUAAACCUAACCAAUGCGUAUCUUAUGCACGCCAAAGUCUAUUUCUGCGUCUAAAUAGUACGCCAAAUAGAAACAUAGAAUAGAGAAGAUCGGGUCAAGUAUUCCAUUGCGCACAUUACCAGUGAGAAUGCAUUGCCUAAUUUACUUAAUAACUACAAAUACUUCUGAAUGUUGUCAAGCCAAUUUAGAGGCAAAUAUCCUGGUGUGUGUGCAUGUGUGUUACACAGGGUGCUAUUUCCUGGCACUUCUCGGUGGCAGCUGUGCGGGGCUGGUGCUGGAUCCUGGGGGCAGAAGCCUGCAGUGAUCUCCGCUCUGUUUCUACAGCGGUCUCCGAGCUCUGCAGAGACUCCUGGGAGAUCACGAAGCCACACGCGCACAGAUCUCGUGAUGCACAACCACCCAGAUCCAAGUUCGCCGCGCAUGUAGGCCCAUAUUCAGCACACGUUGCUCUGCGACGCGCGCACACGCUGCGCUCGAGUAUUUUAAUUAGGCAGCCUGGAAACACACAGCGCUCCCCUCGCGCUCAGAUUUACUCGUCUCGCAAACAGCCACACUCGGUCGCUCUCCGAGGGAAAUGGCACGUGCGCCACCUCGGAAAUUUGAGGGAGCACCGGUGCGGCUGUCCUGUGCUGGAGAAACGGACGGGACAGAAGCCGUGCAGCUCGCGGAAGAAGCGAGAUGCGCUUUUAUCUACUGCCGUGUUUUUAACAUUUCAAACUUCACACGCAUUCAGACCGAAGAUAGUGACACCACACUGCCAUCCAGCGGCCACAAGCGGUAGCACAGGCUAACAAGUAUUAUGUGUGAUUCGAUUCCUCAACUCAAGUGUGUGUUGUUGAGCAGAGCGUGCUGCUACUUUACUAAGUGAUCAGACACAAUAUUUUCACCUGCUGGACCAGAAAACAGGAGAAAAAAUCCCCGGCCCUGCAGCCAUCCAGAACACCUGAGCAGUGUGGACAAUUCCAUGUCUCAGCUCUCCUCCCUUAAUGACGUGUGGAGUUUAAUUAAACACAGUCUCAGUCAUCUCACCUGUCAGCUCUUCUCUUUCUGCCAGCUCAGUGUCUGGCCCCCUGGGGGGUCUUUAAUGAAGUGGUCUCCUCCAUCGAUCCUGCUGAACAUUGGGUCUCCUUCCUCUGCUGGGUUGGCUGGCAGCCAUUUGGCUUCGCUCUGUCAGCUCCGCGCGGCUAAUUAGCUCUGUUGUUCUUUUGCCUCCCUGAGAUUUCCUCCCUGUUUCAAGUUGAGGAGGGAAAUGCAAAGAGGGCUGGAUCAAGCAUAACAAUCCAACUGCCACCAGUCCUUACAUUAACAACAUCAUGCUACAGCAUUGGAGAGACAUAG